rnacentral:lncRNA from 1 species
CGGGAGUUGGAGCGGGAGGUGGAGUUGUAGGUGCAGCGGGUGCAGGAGAUGGUGAUUUGGUUGGUUGAGCUGUUGGUGCGGCUCCUGGUGCCUGAGCCAAGGCUGAACCAGCUAAGAGAGCCAAAAGCAUCAAGCACACCAAGGUUUUGUAAGCCAUUGUUAUUGGAAGUUGUCAAGUAGAGGGAGCAAAGAAGACAAGAAGAGAGAGGUAGACAAUGUGGUAUUUAUACAGAGAAAGGAAGAUUAUGGUUUAAGGUUUUUAGUCGGUUCAAGGGACAAGGCAAUUUCCUGUUUGUUUCUUUCAAUUUGUGAAAUUGCAACUGAGCACCCGUGUGGUGCCUAAUUAGAG